UACGGGGGGGGCAAGCGUUGUUCGGAAUUACUGGGCGUAAAGGGCUCGUAGGCGGCCAACUAAGUCAUACGUGAAAUCCCUCGGCUUAACCGGGGAACUGCGUCUGAUACUGGAUGGCUUGAGAUUGGGAGAGGGAUGCGGAAUUCCAGGUGUAGCGGUGAAAUGCGUAGAUAUCUGGAGGAACAUCAGUGGCGAAGGCGACACCCUGGACUCAUACUGACACUGAGGUGCGAAAGCGUGGGGAGCAAACAGG
rnacentral:rRNA from 1 species